UCAGAUUGCUACUUAAAGAGGAGCCUGCUUGACUUCAGUGUUUCAGCCUUGAAGGCUGAUGAGGCUAUUGCUGGCUGUAUGCCCAGGUCUCCAGCGCCCUCCCUCCCUGCUCCAGAGGCUCCAGAGGCCCAGGAGGAGGCUGCAGGACCCGGGGGGGGGCGGGUGGAGGUCCAGGCCCCCUCCUCCAAUCUCACGCCAGCCCCCAAACCAGUCAGGACCGACCCAGACAAGGUCCCCAAGUGGCUCAAACUGCCUGGUAAGAAGUGAGGACACUUCCUGUCACCUGAGUACGACACCUACGGUGCCUCACCCGGGACACACAGAACAGAAUGGACUCCCUUACUCAUACCCGAUAGAACCAUACCACACACACACAGACACACACAGCUUCUAAAUACACAAACAUCCUCUAUAGAUACCACAUACACACACACACACAUGUUCCAACCAAGAUAGGCUGUAAGCAGAAUCACUAGUUUUUUUCCAAAGAAUGAAUGAUACCCAUGAAAUAAAUAAAUACAUUUGGUAAACAAAGAAUGUUUCAAUUGCCAAAAUCAA